rnacentral:rRNA from 1 species
GGGUUGUGAGGUUAAGCGACUAAGCGUACACGGUGGAUGCCCUGGCAGUCAGAGGCGAUGAAGGACGUGCUAAUCUGCGAUAAGCGUCGGUAAGGUGAUAUGAACCGUUAUAACCGGCGAUUUCCGAAUGGGGAAACCCAGUGUGUUUCGACACACUAUCAUUAACUGAAUCCAUAGGUUAAUGAGGCGAACCGGGGGAACUGAAACAUCUAAGUACCCCGAGGAAAAGAAAUCAACCGAGAUUCCCCCAGUAGCGGCGAGCGAACGGGGAGCAGCCCAGAGCCUGAAUCAGUGUGUGUGUUAGUGGAAGCGUCUGGAAAGGCGCGCGAUACAGGGUGACAGCCCCGUACACAAAAAUGCACAUGCUGUGAGCUCGAUGAGUAGGGCGGGACACGUGGUAUCCUGUCUGAAUAUGGGGGGACCAUCCUCCAAGGCUAAAUACUCCUGACUGACCGAUAGUGAACCAGUACCGUGAGGGAAAGGCGAAAAGAACCCCGGCGAGGGGAGUGAAAAAGAACCUGAAACCGUGUACGUACAAGCAGUGGGAGCACGCUUAGGCGUGUGACUGCGUACCUUUUGUAUAAUGGGUCAGCGACUUAUAUUCUGUAGCAAGGUUAACCGAAUAGGGGAGCCGAAGGGAAACCGAGUCUUAACUGGGCGUUAAGUUGCAGGGUAUAGACCCGAAACCCGGUGAUCUAGCCAUGGGCAGGUUGAAGGUUGGGUAACACUAACUGGAGGACCGAACCGACUAAUGUUGAAAAAUUAGCGGAUGACUUGUGGCUGGGGGUGAAAGGCCAAUCAAACCGGGAGAUAGCUGGUUCUCCCCGAAAGCUAUUUAGGUAGCGCCUCGUGAAUUCAUCUCCGGGGGUAGAGCACUGUUUCGGCAAGGGGGUCAUCCCGACUUACCAACCCGAUGCAAACUGCGAAUACCGGAGAAUGUUAUCACGGGAGACACACGGCGGGUGCUAACGUCCGUCGUGAAGAGGGAAACAACCCAGACCGCCAGCUAAGGUCCCAAAGUCAUGGUUAAGUGGGAAACGAUGUGGGAAGGCCCAGACAGCCAGGAUGUUGGCUUAGAAGCAGCCAUCAUUUAAAGAAAGCGUAAUAGCUCACUGGUCGAGUCGGCCUGCGCGGAAGAUGUAACGGGGCUAAACCAUGCACCGAAGCUGCGGCAGCGACGCUUAUGCGUUGUUGGGUAGGGGAGCGUUCUGUAAGCCUGUGAAGGUGUGCUGUGAGGCAUGCUGGAGGUAUCAGAAGUGCGAAUGCUGACAUAAGUAACGAUAAAGCGGGUGAAAAGCCCGCUCGCCGGAAGACCAAGGGUUCCUGUCCAACGUUAAUCGGGGCAGGGUGAGUCGACCCCUAAGGCGAGGCCGAAAGGCGUAGUCGAUGGGAAACAGGUUAAUAUUCCUGUACUUGGUGUUACUGCGAAGGGGGGACGGAGAAGGCUAUGUUGGCCGGGCGACGGUUGUCCCGGUUUAAGCGUGUAGGCUGGUUUUCCAGGCAAAUCCGGAAAAUCAAGGCUGAGGCGUGAUGACGAGGCACUACGGUGCUGAAGCAACAAAUGCCCUGCUUCCAGGAAAAGCCUCUAAGCAUCAGGUAACAUCAAAUCGUACCCCAAACCGACACAGGUGGUCAGGUAGAGAAUACCAAGGCGCUUGAGAGAACUCGGGUGAAGGAACUAGGCAAAAUGGUGCCGUAACUUCGGGAGAAGGCACGCUGAUACGUAGGUGAAGCGACUUGCUCGUGGAGCUGAAAUCAGUCGAAGAUACCAGCUGGCUGCAACUGUUUAUUAAAAACACAGCACUGUGCAAACACGAAAGUGGACGUAUACGGUGUGACGCCUGCCCGGUGCCGGAAGGUUAAUUGAUGGGGUCAGCGCAAGCGAAGCUCUUGAUCGAAGCCCCGGUAAACGGCGGCCGUAACUAUAACGGUCCUAAGGUAGCGAAAUUCCUUGUCGGGUAAGUUCCGACCUGCACGAAUGGCGUAAUGAUGGCCAGGCUGUCUCCACCCGAGACUCAGUGAAAUUGAACUCGCUGUGAAGAUGCAGUGUACCCGCGGCAAGACGGAAAGACCCCGUGAACCUUUACUAUAGCUUGACACUGAACAUUGAGCCUUGAUGUGUAGGAUAGGUGGGAGGCUUUGAAGUGUGGACGCCAGUCUGCAUGGAGCCGACCUUGAAAUACCACCCUUUAAUGUUUGAUGUUCUAACGU